AGAGUUUGAUCCUGGCUCAGAUUGAACGCUGGCGGUAUGCUUAACACAUGCAAGUCGAACGGAAACGAUACUAGCUUGCUAGUAGGCGUCGAGUGGCGGACGGGUGAGUAACGCGUAGGAAUCUACCAGAUAGUGGGGGAUAGCCCAGAGAAAUUCGGAUUAAUACCGCAUAAUCUCUACGGAGUAAAGGAGGCCUCUAUUUAUAUGCUUUCGCUAUCUGAUGAGCCUGCGUAAGAUUAGCUAGUUGGUGAGGUAAAAGCUCACCAAGGCAACGAUCUUUAGCUGGUCUGAGAGGAUGAUCAGCCACACUGGGACUGAGACACGGCCCAGACUCCUACGGGAGGCAGCAGUGGGGAAUAUUGGACAAUGGGGGCAACCCUGAUCCAGCAAUACCGCGUGUGUGAAGAAGGCCUGAGGGUUGUAAAGCACUUUCAACUGUGAAGAAAAGUUAAUAGUUAAUAACUAUUAGCNUUUGACGUUAACUUUAGAAGAAGC
rnacentral:rRNA from 1 species